ensembl:rRNA 5S_rRNA 5S ribosomal RNA
GCCAGCAGUUAUAUCACCCUGCAGCUCUAAACUGGUUACCCACUGAAACUAAGCAGGGCUGAGCCUAGUCAGUACCUGAUUGGGAGACCUCCUGGAAAUACCUGUGGUUGCUGCUGGAA